AUGCAGCUGAAGAGUCUUGAAAUGGGGCGAAACGCGCUUCCUGGAU
rfam:Schistosoma mansoni strain Puerto Rico chromosome W, complete genome